rnacentral:lncRNA from 12 species
UGGAAAUUCUCUUCAGAUUUCUUCCCAUUAGUAAAAACAGGUACUAAUGUUAAGUUUUUCAUAAAAGCCAAGUGGCGUAACUCAAACUUUUGGAAAGUGGCCUGUGUUCUUUGUUUUAUGCCAUUUCUGUUUACAAAAGUUUUCACAGGAACAUUCUACUUUCAAAUGGUGGGGGAAACCUGGACUCAAAAAGAAUCAAACUCCUCACGGUACCAUUAGUGGACAAGAGUCUGGAACACAGGAUCGGGAGUCAGCUGUAUCAAUUGGCCCUGCAGUCACCAGUGAGGAACGGAGCACAGUGUGUCAACACAGGGGUAUGGUUACUUGAGUGGAGUAAAAGAGAAUCUGAAGGAGAAACCCAAUCUAGGAGUCAAGGCCCCUGUCAAAGAAAAAAACGCACUGGACGAUGGAGCAGGACUCCUGGUUGGCAGUCA